UACGUAGGGUGCAAGCGUUGUCCGGAAUUAUUGGGCGUAAAGAGCUCGUAGGCGGUUUGUCGCGUCGAAUGUGAAAACCCGGGGCUCAACCCCGGGCCUGCAUUCGAUACGGGCAGACUUGAGUUCGGUAGGGGAGUGGGGAAUUCCUGGUGUAGCGGUGAAAUGCGCAGAUAUCAGGAGGAACACCGGUGGCGAAGGCGGGUCUCUGGGCCGUAACUGACGCUGAGGAGCGAAAGCGUGGGGAGCGAACAGG
rnacentral:rRNA from 1 species